UACUUUUUCUCUCCCCCCUCUCCCCCUCUCCCAGUCUCCUACAGCACAAACAGACUCCCAGGAGGCUCACAGCGUGGGAAUGGGUAGAAGAGGAGAGAAGUGAAGGAGGGGACAGACCGCUACAGAGAGGCUCUGCUUCACUGAAGGUAAAUGUAUGAGAUGAGGAGGUGAAUAGGGAAGAAAGGAUGAAGAAAAGAGAGAUCCUGCCUCCUGGUGGGGUGAAAUAAGGGGUGAGAAGUGAAGGAGGAGGGAGAAUAACUCACUGUGGCUGCAGUGUCAGGCCGUGAGUGUUGGAGCGUGAGGAGCGGCCAUGCAAAGCGCUGCACAGAGUUUGAAUAUUGAUGAGGAGCAGACUGUCGAAGGAGAAGACGAAGAAGAGAAGAGAGAAGAAGAGGAGGCGUGAACUCUCUGUCUGGUGUAAGAUGGCAGCAAUACGCUGAAUAAUGACCAGACACAUCCCACAACCUGAGAGAAGAGAGGGAAAGUUGUCUUAAAGUCUUCAACAUAAAAAAAUAAGUCUAUGCCAAAAUCUUUAUGUUUUAUUUUAGAUUAAGGCCUGCAUAUUUAAUCUAAUGCAAAUGUCUAUGACACGUAACAACAUUACAAUACUACACACAGUC